ACUAAACAGCUAGCCUCAACAAGUAAAACCUAUUUAUGAUUUAAGACUCACAAUGCACUUAAAUAAAUCAUUUUACUCCCAAAGUAUGUGCGACAGAAAAGGAAAAAAGAGCAACAGAUAAAGUACCGCAAGGGAACGCUGAAAAAGAAAUGAAAUAAAUCAAUUAAGUACUAAAUAGCAGAGCUUACCCCUCGUACCUUUUGCAUCAUGAUUUAGCAAGUAAAAUGCAAGCAAAGAGCCCUUUAGUUUGCGACCCCGAAACUGAGCGAGCUACUCCAGGACAGCCUAUUGUAGGGCAAACCCGUCUCUGUGGCAAAAGAGUGGGAAGAUCUUCGAGUAGAGGUGACAAACCUACCGAGCACAGUAAUAGCUGGUUGCCUGGGAAUUGAAUAGAAGUUCAGCCCUUUAAGUUUUCCUAACCAUACAAGCCGUGCUCAUAUUGGUAAAGAUAUCUAAAGGAGUUAGUCAGAAAGGGUACAGCCUUCCCGACAAGAGAAACAACUUUUACAGGUGACACAAGAUCAUAAUAAUAGAGGACUUCAAAUUAAGUGGGCCUGAAAGCAGCCAUCUUAACAGAAAGCGUUAAAGCUCAAAUUAAGUCUAAUCCCCGUAUUCUGAUACAAAAUCUUCCUCCCUGCCCCCUACCAGGCUGUCUUAUGCCCCCAUAAGAGCAAUUAUGCUAAAAUGAGUAAUAAGAAGACACGAUCUUCUCCUAGCAUAUGUGUAAGUUGGAACGGACCCCCCACCAACUAUUAAUCGAUCCCACCCCCAGAGGGAAUUAAGCGACACCCCAAGAAAGACACUUAAACCAUAUCGUUGACCCCACACAGGAGUGCCCACAGGAAAGACUAAACGAGGGGGAAGGAACUCGGCAAACAAAAGCCCCGCCUGUUUACCAAAAACAUCGCCUCUUGCCCCCCCCCCAUAAGAGGUCCCGCCUGCCCUGUGACUAUAUGUUUAACGGCCGCGGUAUUUUAACCGUGCGAAGGUAGCGUAAUCACUUGUCUUUUAAAUGAAGACCUGUAUGAAUGGCAUCACGAGGGCUUAGCUGUCUCCCCUCUCCAGUCAAUGAAAUUGACCUCCCCGUGCAGAGGCGGGGAUUCAAACAUAAGACGAGAAGACCCUGUGGAGCUUCAGACCUAAAAUAAUUUAUGUUUAAUACACUGGGAAUAUCAGCUAAAACUUAAUAAUAAUUAUUGGAGUGUCUUUGGUUGGGGCGACCGCGGGGUAAAACAAAACCCCCACGUGGAAUGGGAGAAUCACUCCUAGUACCUAGAGCCGCUACUCCAAGUAACAGAAAUUCUGACUUUAUGAUCCGGUAUUACCGAUCAACGGACCGAGUUACCCCAGGGAUAACAGCGCAAUCCUCUCUCAGAGCCCAUAUCGACGAGGGGGUUUACGACCUCGAUGUUGGAUCAGGACAUCCUAAUGGUGCAGCCGCUAUUAAGGGUUCGUUUGUUCAACGAUUAAAGUCCUACGUGAUCUGAGUUCAGACCGGAGCAAUCCAGGUCAGUUUCUAUCUAUGACAAGUCUCUCCCUAGUACGAAAGGACCGGGAGAAAAGGGCCAAUGCCUAACGCACGCCCUUCCACCUACCGCUGAAAACCAAUAAAACGGACAAGGAGGCUUGAAGAAGACCCCCAAAACAGGGCCA
rnacentral:rRNA from 1 species